rnacentral:rRNA from 1 species
AUUGAACGCUGGCGGCAGGCCUAACACAUGCAAGUCGAACGAGUGGCGGACGGGUGAGUAAUGUCUGGGAAACUGCCCUAUGGCGGGGGAUAACUACUGGAAACGGUAGCUAAUACCGCAUACCAUCGGAUGUGCCCAGAUGGGAUUAGCUAGUAGGUGGGGUAACGGCUCACCAAGGCGACGAUCCAUAGCUGGUCUGAGAGGAUGACCAGCCACACUGGAACUGAGACACGGUCCAGACUCCUACGGGAGGCAGCAGUGGGGAAUAUUGCGCAAUGGGCGAAAGCCUGAUGCAGCCAUGCCGCGUGUAUGAUGAAGGCCUUCGGGUUGUAAAGUACUUUCAGCGGGGAAGCGGUACCUGCAGAAGAAGCACCGGCUAACUCCGUGCCAGCAGCCGCGGUAAUUC